GCAAGUCGAACGGUAGCAUGAACUAGCUUGCUAGUUUGAUGACGAGUGGUGAACGGGUGAGUAACGCGUAGGAAUAUGCCUUUUUGUGGGGGAUAACUUUAGGAAACUGAAGCUAAUACCGCAUAAUAUCUACGGAUAAAAGCUGGGGACCUUCGGGCCUGGUGCAAAGAGAUUAGCCUGCGUCCGAUUAGCUAGUUGGUAGGGUAAAGGCCUACCAAGGCGACGAUCGGUAGCUGUUCUGAGAGGAAGAGC
rnacentral:rRNA from 1 species